rnacentral:rRNA from 1 species
GACGAACGCUGGCGGCGCGCUUAACACAUGCAAGUCGAGCGGUAAGGCCCUUUCGGGGGUACGACGAGCGGCGAACGGGUGAGUAACACGUGGGUGACCUGCCCUCAGCUCUGGGAGUAAGCCUGGGAAACCGGGUCUAAUACCGGAUAUGACUCCAUGACGCAUGUUGUGGGGUGGAAAGCCUUGUGCGGCUGAGGAUGGGCCCGCGGCCUAUCAGCUUGUUGGUGGGGUGAUGGCCUACCAAGGCGACGACGGGUAGCCGGCCUGAGAGGGCGACCGGCCACACUGGGACUGAGACACGGCCCAGACUCCUACGGGAGGCAGCAGUGGGGAAUCUUGCGCAAUGGGCGAAAGCCUGACGCAGCGACGCCGCGUGAGGGAUGACGGCC